AAAAAAAUUAUAAUAGCCUUUCAAGACGUCAUAAUUAUUUGGACUAGACAGGGGGGUACUCCUUUUCCUUCUCUCACCCAUUUUCUCCUUUCUCCUACCCCUCUUCUCCUUAUUUUAUUUUUUUUUAAUUUACCGGGAAAAAAAAGAUAUUUUAUUUCUUCAUAUUUUAUUUUUUUCUCCAACUUCUCCUUUUUCCCAACCUUCCUCUCCUUUCACCUACCCCCUUUCUCCCACCCCUUUCUCCUACCUCCUUUCUCCCUGUCUCCCUUAUCCCUGUCCUCCCCCUCAUUUAUAUCUGAUACUGAUCAUAACUCAUGAAUAAAAAUGGUAUCUGGUCUCAGUUGGGCUGCUGUGUCAGGAUUUGACUGUCAAAGUGAUACAAAACUCUAGAAUUCUUCUGUAUAUAUACAAAUACACCGUGACAGUAGCUAAUCAAGAAAUUAAUAAAAGGGGGAACGUCUAGUGCCUGUGGUCCUAGUGUAACAGUAGUCCAAAUAAUUAUGACGUCUGGCAAGGUCAAGGCUUCAUAAUUAGUUGGAAUAGUGUAACAGUAAAUUUGGUCCGGUUGUAAAAUUUGUUCUCCAGACUUUUUUUCCUAGUUAAUUAAGUCCAUGUCCAUGAUUUUACUAGGAAUUAAAGUCCCAGGACAAAUGUUUCUAGGAAAAUCAGUCCAUAGCUAGUAAUUUAUGUUUGUAACUUGUUUUCCUAGGAAAAUAUGUCACAAGACUUGUUUUUC
rnacentral:lncRNA from 1 species